rnacentral:rRNA from 1 species
UACGUAGGGUGCGAGCGUUGUCCGGAAUUAUUGGGCGUAAAGGGCUCGUAGGCGGUUUGUCGCGUCGGGAGUGAAAUCCACUGGCUUAACUGGUGGCUUGCUUUCGAUACGGGCAGACUGGAGGUAUGCAGGGGAGAACGGAAUUCCUGGUGUAGCGGUGAAAUGCGCAGAUAUCAGGAGGAACACCGGUGGCGAAGGCGACUACCUGGCCUGUUCUUGACGCUGAGGCGCGAAAGCUAGGGGAGCAAACGGG